rnacentral:rRNA from 1 species
GACGAACGCUGGCGGCGUGCCUAACACAUGCAAGUCGAGCGGAGUCGAUCGACGGAAGCCUUCGGGCGGAAGAUGGUUGACUUAGCGGCGGAUGGGUGAGUAACGCGUGGGCAACCUGCCUCGAAGACCGGGAUAACAGCCCGAAAGGGCUGCUAAUACCGGAUGUGGUCAAGGAUCCGCAUGGAUUUUUGAUUAAAGGGGAAACCCGUUUCGAGAUGGGCCCGCGUCCUAUCAGCUAGUUGGUGAGGUAAAAGCUCACCAAGGCGACGACGGGUAGCCGGCCUGAGAGGGUGACCGGCCACACUGGAACUGAGACACGGUCCAGACUCCUACGGGGGGCAGCAGUGGGGAAUCUUCCACAAUGGGCGAAAGCCUGAUGGAGCGACGCCGCGUGAGCGAAGAAGGCCUUCGGUUGUAAAGCUCUGUCUGGAGGGACGAAGGAAGUGACGGUACCUCCGGAGGAAGCCACGGCUAACUACGUGCCAGCAGCCGCGGUAAAGUAGUGUGUA